AUACCUGGUAAUGUGGAAAAUAGCAUAUAGAUAACGCGAAUUGUUUAGCACCGUAUAGAAUAUGAAAUCAUGUUAUAAGUGUGCGAUACAUCGGAUCUUACUUGAUUUUUCAACGGUGAAUACAAGUGAUUUACAAACGAAGCGGAGUUGAGGAAACGCCAAACGGAGAAUGUACGUUCACGUAUUCUCAAUUGCCGCCUUUCCUGUCUAGUGUUACAUAGGAAUGUGCCGAACAGCUGAGAAAUCAACUGAUGGACGCAAUCGAGCCACUGAAGGAAUACUGGGCAACGUUCGUUGGGGUCGUCGCAGCCAAUAGUCUGACCGCAUCUGUCUGCGAACUUGUGUCCGAAAUCCAACCAUUCUCUCUCGCAUAGAACUUGGAAUCCCUGAACGCCCAGAACAGAAGGGAUCAGCACAAGGAAUAAACACGAGUUGUUACUUAUCGCUGUCUGUUAAAAGCACAUACCUCCAUAGUGCGAUAAUAUGGAUCGAGCAGUAUUUGUGCCAACGCCACAAUCUGUGACGUCCUGUCCCACCCGUCGCUGCAAUGCACUAAUACUGGCCGACCGUCCCUCUCUAUCGCGGACGCCACGGUGACUGCUGCUCGUAACAAGCCCGACAUAUGUUGCAACCAUCGCGUACCUUCCAGUAAACUCAGCCAACUGCAAAGAAAGAGUUGGAUUAAUAAAGAAUCAGGAUAGUUUGUUAGAAAUUAUUGUUCCAAAUGAGACUCAUGGAAUUUGUUGCCCAGUUCAACAAUUUGAAGACACUCACUUUGGUUGAUCCGCGUCCGAAGCACAGAGCUGUCUCAGCGCGUGAAAGCUCUUCCGUAUCGAGUGAAUGUUCGGCAAAUUCAUAAACUGUAUGUCACAGCUCGGAUAAUACUCGGGGCAUUCGCAACCGCCGCCACGUGCCCGAUUCGCCACUGCUGUCGUAUAUGAUCUAGCGUCGACGAUUAAAACUUUCUGCAAAAUGAG